AUGUUGCAGUCUGCUCUGGCUAAUCAGACUGCAUUGUUGCAAGGUUGUGUGGCACGGGUUGAGAGCUUUCUGGAGCGAGCGGAGGUUGCUCUGGGUAGACUAUCCCUUGUGCCGGUUCUGUUGCAGACCACUCUGACGUCACAUUCUCCUUGUGUGGCCGGUGUUUGCUCCGUGGAAGACAGGGGUGAGGAGUUGUAUGGCUCUUUCUCCCCUCGUGUUGGAGUCCAUUCAUCGUCGGUGCCUACCUCCCCUCUUAUGGUGUCUUCCACUAAGGGCGAGUCCAUCGCCAUGCUUGUGACUCCGGUGCUGCAGAUCAUGCCUGAGCUUAGGGAGCUAUGCCUGAGUCUAUCAGUGGAGCAUACGAAGGUGGACAUGUCGGCGGCCUCGAUUGAAGGACAAGUUUCGCCUCUGUCAAGUGAGCAGUUGGAGGUUUCUUUGGUUGAUGAUGCUAAAGGGAAGGCAACUGUAAUUUCAUGA
rnacentral:rRNA from 1 species